rnacentral:lncRNA from 1 species
UCGAUGCCAGCAGCGGAGUUGAGAGCGGCUCGGUCUGGAUUGAGCUAUAUUCGGCGUGUUUUGCUGAGAUAAGAAAUUCUCUUGAAGGGUAACUCUGUGACAGUCAUUGGAUAGAUGAUAGAUCCUACAGGCUUCGAUUAGGAUUGACGAUUACCACUCGCUGUUAAGAGACAUUCGGGCCAUUAUUUAUAACAAGAUGGUGAUCC